rnacentral:rRNA from 1 species
UACGUAGGGCGCAAGCGUUAUCCGGAAUUAUUGGGCGUAAAGAGCUCGUAGGCGGUUUGUCGCGUCUGCCGUGAAAGUCCGGGGCUCAACUCCGGAUCUGCGGUGGAUACGGGCAGACUAGAGGCAGGUAGGGGAGAAUGGAAUUCCCGGUGUAGCGGUGAAAUGCGCAGAUAUCGGGAGGAACACCGGUGGCGAAGGCGGGUCUCUGGGCCGAUACUGACGCUGAGGAGCGAAAGCGUGGGGAGCGAACAGG